rnacentral:rRNA from 1 species
CGAAGGGUGCAAGUCGUUACUCGGAAUUACUGGGCGUAAAGCGUGCGUAGGUGGUUCGUUAAGUCUGUCGUGAAAGCCCCGGGCUCAACCUGGGAAUGGCGAUGGAUACUGGCGGGCUAGAGUGCGGUAGAGGAGAGUGGAAUUUCCCGGUGUAGCAGUGAAAUGCGUAGAGAUCGGGAGGAACAUCAGUUGCGAAGGCGGCUCUCUGGACCAGCACUGACACUGAGGCACGAAAGCGUGGGGAGCAAACAGGAUUAGAUACCCUGGUAGUCCACGCCCUAAACGAUGCGAACUGGACGGUUGGGAGCAAUCAGGCUCUCAGUGUCGAAGCUAACGCGUUAAGUUCGCCGCCUGGGGAGUACGGUCGCAAGACUG